GACGAACGCUGGCGGCGUGCUUAACACAUGCAAGUCGAACGGAAAGACCCUGCUUUUGUGUGGUGCUCGAGUGGCGAACGGGUGUGUAACACGUGAGUAACCCGCCCUUGACUGUGUGAUAUCUUCAGACAACUGCGGAUACUGCCUGAGAGGAGCUCCUGCAGCAUGGUGGUGGUUGGACAGUUUCGGCGGUUGUGGAUGGACUCGCGGGUUACCAGCUUGUUGGUUGAGGAGUUGCUUACCAAGGCUUAGGCGGGUCGCCCGCCUGAGAGCGGAAACGGCGUCAUGGGGACUGAGGUACGGACCAGUCUCGUAUGGGAGGCAGUAGUGGGGAAUAUGGCACAAUGGGCGGAAGUGUGAGGCGGCAAUGUUGCGUGCGGGAUGACGGCCUUCGGGUUGUAAACCGCUGUCGCCUGUGACGAAGCGUGAGUGACGUUAACGGGUAAAGAAGCACCGGCUAACUACGUG
rnacentral:rRNA from 1 species